rnacentral:rRNA from 1 species
CUAAUACAUGCAAGUCGAACGGUGGCAGCAAUGUCAUAGUGGCGCACGGGUGCGUAACGCGUAGCCAACCUACCCACAUCUGGGGGAUAGCCCGCCGAAAGGCGGAUUAAUACCGCAUAAGCCAGUUGGCCGGCAUCGGCUGAUUGGUAAAGAUUUAUUGGAUGUGGAUGGGGCUGCGUGCCAUUAGCUAGUUGGUUGGGUAACGGCUGACCAAGGCGACGAUGGCUAGGGGAGCUGAGAGGCUGGUCCCCCACACGGGCACUGAGAUACGGGCCCGACUCCUACGGGAGGCAGCAGUAGGGAAUAUUGGGCAAUGGCCGAGAGGCUGACCCAGCCAUGCCGCGUGCAGGACGAAGGCUUUCUGAGUCGUAAACUGCUUUUUUCCGGGAAGAACCACUGCCUUGCGAGGGAGCCUGACGGUACCGGGAGAAUAAGCACCGGCUAACUCCGUGCCAGCAGCCGCGGUAAUACGGAGGGUGCGAGCGUUGUCCGGAUUUAUUGGGUUUAAAGGGUGCGUAGGCGGCCCGGUAAGUUUGGGGUGAAAGCCCGUUGCUCAACAACGGAACUGCCCUGAAAACUGCCGGGCUUGAGUCCAGUCGAGGUUGGCGGAAUGGGCGAUGUAGCGGUGAAAUGCAUAGAUAUCAUCCAGAACACCAAUUGCGUAGGCAAGUUACUAAGUCUCAACUGACGCUGAGGCACGAAAGUGUGGGUAUCAAACAGGAUUAGAUACCCUGGUAGUCCACACUGUAAACGAUGAUAACUAACUGUUGGCUUUCGGGUCAGUGGUACAGAGAAAUCGUUAAGUUAUCCACCUGGGGAGUACGCCGGCAACGGUGAAACUCAAAGGAAUUGACAGGGGUCCGCACAAGCGGUGGAGCAUGUGGUUUAAUUCGACGAUACGCGAGGAACCUUACCUAGGCUAGAAUGUGAAGGAAUGUAUUAGAAAUGGUGCAGUCAGCAAUGACCUGAAACAAGGUGCUGCAUGGCUGUUGUCAGCUCGUGCCGUGAGGUGUUGGGUUAAGUCCCGCAACGAGCGCCACCCCUGUUGUUAGUUGCCAUCAGGUAAUGCUGGGAACUUUAACAAGACUGCCUACGCAAGUAGAGAGGAAGGAGGGGACGACGUCAAGUCAUCAUGGCCCUUACGCCUAGGGCAACACGCGUGCUACAAUGGACGGUACAGCAGGUCGGUAUGUGGUAACACAGUGCCAAUCUACAAAACCGUUCUCAGUUCGGAUUGGGGUCUGCAACUCGACCCUAUGAAGCUGGAAUCGGUAGUAAUCGGGUAUCAGCUAUGAUCCGGUGAAUACGUUCCCGGACCUUGUACACACCGCCCGUCAAGCCAUGAAAGUGUGGUAGACCUAAAGCUGGUGUC